AUGAACGCUAGCGGCAGGCCUAACACAUGCAAGUCGAGGGGUAGAAAUAGCUUGCUAUUUUGAGACCGGCGCACGGGUGCGUAACGCGUAUGCAAUCUACCUUUUACUAAGGGAUAGCCCGGAGAAAUCCGGAUUAAUACCUUAUAGUUUAUUUGGUUGGCAUCAAUCGGAUAAUAAAGAUUUAUUGGUAAAAGAUGAGCAUGCGUCCCAUUAGUUAGUUGGUGUGGUAACGGCAUACCAAGACGAUGAUGGGUAGGGGUCCUGAGAGGGAGAUCCCCCACACUGGUACUGAGACACGGACCAGACUCCUACGGGAGGCAGCAGUGAGGAAUAUUGGUCAAUGGACGCAAGUCUGAACCAGCCAUGCCGCGUGCAGGACGACGGUCCUAUGGAUUGUAAACUGCUUUUAUACGGGAAGAAACACCUCUACGAGUAGAGACUUGACGGUACCGUAAGAAUAAGGAUCGGCUAACUCCGUGCCAGCAGCCGCGGUAAUACGGAGGAUUCGAGCGUUAUCCGGAAUCAUUGGGUUUAAAGGGUUCGUAGGCGGCCUUAUAAGUCAGCGGUGAAAGUUUUUGGCUUAACCAAAAAAUUGCCGUUGAUACUGUAGGGCUUGAAUAAUUUUGAAGUAACUAGAAUAUGUAGUGUAGCGGUGAAAUGCAUAGGUAUUACAUGGAAUACCAAUUGCGAAGGCAGGUUACUAAGAAUAUAUUGACGCUGAUGGACGAAAGCGUGGGUAGCGAACAGGAUUAGAUACCCUGGUAGUCCACGCCGUAAACGAUGGAUACUAGCUGUUUGGAUUUGGUUCUGAGUGGCUAAGCGAAAGUGAUAAGUAUCCCACCUGGGGAGUACGUUCGCAAGAAUGAAACUCAAAGGAAUUGACGGGGGCCCGCACAAGCGGUGGAGCAUGUGGUUUAAUUCGAUGAUACGCGAGGAACCUUACCAGGGCUUAAAUGUGUUUUGACGUUAUUGGAAACAGUAAUUUCUUCGGACAAAAUACAAGGUGCUGCAUGGUUGUCGUCAGCUCGUGCCGUGAGGUGUCAGGUUAAGUCCUAUAACGAGCGCAACCCCUGUUGUUAGUUGCCAGCGAGUAAUGUCGGGAACUCUAGCAAGACUGCCGGUGUAAACCGCGAGGAAGGUGGGGAUGACGUCAAAUCAUCACGGCCCUUACGUCCUGGGCCACACACGUGCUACAAUGGCCGGUACAGAGAGCAGCCACUUGGCGACAAGGAGCGAAUCUACAAAACCGGUCACAGUUCGGAUCGGAGUCUGCAACUCGACUCCGUGAAGCUGGAAUCGCUAGUAAUCGGAUAUCAGCCAUGAUCCGGUGAAUACGUUCCCGGGCCUUGUACACACCGCCC
rnacentral:rRNA from 1 species